GACAGCAGUAGCCGCGGUAAUACGAAGGGUGCAAGCGUUAAUCGGAAUUACUGGGCGUAAAGCGUGCGUAGGCGGUUUGUUAAGUCUGCUGUGAAAUCCCCGGGCUCAACCUGGGAAUGGCAGUGGAUACUGGCAAGCUAGAGUGUGUCAGAGGAUGGUGGAAUUCCCGGUGUAGCGGUGAAAUGCGUAGAGAUCGGGAGGAACAUCAGUGGCGAAGGCGGCCAUCUGGGACAACACUGACGCUGAGGCACGAAAGCGUGGGGAGCAAACAGGAUUAGAUACCCCCGUAGUCCCUGUCUCUUAUAC
rnacentral:rRNA from 1 species